rnacentral:tRNA from 1 species
AAGGAUUAAUAGCUCAAAGGCAGAGCACCCUAGUUGAAAGAUUAGGCUUGAUAAUGGUUCGAUUCCAUUGUAUCC